rnacentral:misc_RNA from 1 species
GAAAUGCGAUAAGUAAUGUGAAUUGCAGAAUUCAGUGAAUCAUCGAAUCUUUGAACGCACCUUGCGCUCCUUGGUAUUCCGAGGAGCAUGCCUGUUUGAGUGUCAUGAAAUUCUCAACCUUAUCAAAGUUUUUGACUUUGUCUGGCUUGGACUGUGGGAUAUGCUGGCUUGUCAAAAGUCAGCUCUCCUUAAAUGUAUUAGCAGAAUCUUUUAAAGGUUAGCUUUUUAGUGUGAUAAUUAUCUACGCUAUGAAGUGCCUUGUGCAAUUCAGCUUCUAAAUUGUCUUAUAUACAAGACACACCAUGACCAUUUUGACCUCAAAUCAGGUAGGACUACCCGCUGAACUUAA